GAAAAGAGUAGAAACAUGAAUCUGCCAGCAAGUAUCUUAGUCAUUAAAAUGGAGAGAAAAGAAAGGAUGGCUAUUGGUGCCUUUUCCUCCUGGAAUCUAGUCACUUUGGCUAUAAAACCCAGUAACUGAAUAAUCUUAAAAUAUUUACUGUAAUAUACCUGGCCCGCUGUGUUUUACCUGGUUUGUUUAUUUGUCUAUCUACUUUUUCCUUUUCAAAUUCCUUCUACUUUUUCCAAAAUAUAAAAUAAUCUUGCUUGGUUGUAUUAACUUUCAUCCAGCCAUUUUCUAUAUUUUCUUUCAGUUAUGCUCAUUCAGUUCCAGCCAUAAUAUUUCACUGUUUGAUAGCCUUUUCUAAAGUAAUUAAUAGUUCUCAUAUGAACACCUGGCCCAUACACGUUUCCCUUUGAAUUCAUUUAUUUUUCUAAUUUUCCAUAUUUUAUUUUAGAACUGAUUCACGGAGUUUGUUAUUGAAAUACCUGCACCUGGCUUCAUAGAAGGAGGGAGAAAAUGAAUAUGAAUAUAAACAUGGAGUGAGAUUAUACUCCAGAACCAUUGUAAAAACUUUUGACUCCUAAUGUUAUCCCCUUUCCUGUUUUCCCCCCAAGAACCCUCCUAUCCCAUUCCCCCUCCCCCUGCUUCUAUGAGGGUACUCCUCCUCCCACCUUACCGCCCUGGCAUUCCCCUAUACUGGGGAAUUCAGCCUUCACAGGACCAAGGGCCUCUCCUCCCAUUGAUGCCCAACAAGUCCACCCUCUGCUACAUAUGUGGCUGGAGCCAUGGGUCCCUCCAUGUGUAGUCUUUGGUUGGUGGUUUAGUCCCUGGGAGCUCUAGGGGGUCUGGUUGGUUGACACUGUUGCUCCUCCCAUGGGGCUGCAAUCCCCUCAGCUCCUUCAGUCCCUUCUCCAACUCCUCCAUUGGGAUCCCCAAGCUCAGUCCAAUGGUUGGCUGCAAGCAUCCGCCUCUGUAUUUGUCAGGCUCUGGCAGAGCUUCUCAGGAGACAGCUAUAACAGGCUCCUGUCAGCAAGCACUUCUAAGCAUCUGCAAUUGUGUUUGGAUUUGGUGUCUGUAUAUGGGUUGGAUCCCCAGGUGGGGCAGUCUCUGGAUGGCCUUUCCUUCAGUCUCUGCUCCACACUUUGUUCCUGUAUUUCCUUUAGACAGGAGCCAUUCUGGGUUAAAAAUCUGGAGAUGAGUGGGUGGUCCCAUUCCCCCAACCGGGGGCUUUGCCUAACCUCUAGAUGUCUCUACAGGUUCUCUCUCCCCUUUGUUAGGCAUUUCAGCUAAUCUCAUUCCUGUUGGGUCCUGGGAGCCUCUUGUUUUCCUGGCAUCUGGGACUUGCUGGUGGCUAUCUCUAGCUCCCCAUCCCCCAUUGCUACAUACCUCUGUUCAAAUUCCUGACCCUCUGUAUAUCAUUUCUGUCUCUUUCCAUACCUGAUCCUGCCCCAUCUUUUCCCUCUUCCCCUCCUCUCUUCCUCCCAAGUCCCUCCCACCCUCUACUUCCCCUGAGUAUUUUGUUCUUCCUUCUAAGAGUGACUGAAGCAUCCACAUUUUGGUCUUCCUUCUUGAGCUUCAUAUGGUCUAUGAAUUGUAUCUUGGGUAUUCUGAGCUAAUAUCAGUGAGUGCAUACCAUGUGUGUUCUUUUGUGACUAGGUUACCUCACUCAGGAUGAUAUUUUCUAAUUCCAUCCAUUUGCCUAAGAAUUUCAUUAAGUCAUUGUUUUUAAUAGCUGAGUAGUACUCCAUUGUGUAAAUGUACCACACUUUCUGUAUCCAUUACUCUGUUGAGGGACAUCUGGGUUCUUUCCAGCUUCUGGCUAUUAUAAAUAUGACUGCUAUGAACAUAGUGGAGCGUGUGUUCUUAUUACGUGUUGGAGCAUCUUCUGGGUAUAUGCCCAGGAGUGGUCUAGCUAUGUCCUAAGGUAGUACUAUGUCCAAUUUUCUGAGAAACUGCCAGACUGAUUUCCAGAGUGGUUUUACCAGCUUGCAGUUCCAACAAUGGAGGAGUGUUCCUCUUUCUCCACAUUCUCGCCAGCAUCUGCUGUCACCUGAGUUUUUGAUCUUAGCCAUUCUGACUGGUGUAAGAUGGAAUCUCAGGGUUGUUUUGAUUUGCAUUUCCCUGUUGAACAUUUCUUUAGGUGCUUCUUGGCCAUUCGAUAUUCUUCAGUUGAGAAUUCUUUAGCUCUGUACUCCAUUUUUAAAAUAGAGUUAUUUGGUUCUCUGGAGUCUAACUUCUUGAGUUCUUUGUAUAUAUUGGGUAUUAACCCUCUAUCGGAUAUAGAAUUGGUAAAGAUCUUUCCCCAAUCUGUUGGUUGCCAUUUUUUCCUAUUAACAGUGUCCUUUGCCUUACAGAAGCUUUAGUUUAUUGUUUUUAAACGUUACAUAAAUUCUUAAUGUUGGAGGAAUAUUAGAAAUUAACUUUUUUAUUUUUUAUUAUUUGUGUGUGUUUGAGUGUUUUGCCUGGAUGAAUCCAUAUCAUGUGUAUACCUGGUGCCUGUGGAAGUUUGAAGUGGAAAAUAGUAUCAGAUUUCUUGUAACUGGGGUCAUAAAUAGCACCAUGUGGGUGCUGAGAAUUGAACUGAAAUCCUCUGCAAGAGCGACAAGUGCUGUCAGCAACUAAGUCAUGUCUCUAGCCCUGAAAUUAUCUGGUUAAGUGAUCUGGUGAUCAGAAUUAUAAGAAGGUAAUUUUUGUUAAUAUUUUAAAAUAAUUUAGAACUACAAAUCUUUCUUAAGUGAAUCCUCAGGCAUUCUAUAUUAACCACUGUAGUUAUUUCUAAUCUAGUUUUAUAUUCAAGAAGGUUUUUCAUUGCAGCAAAAGGAAAUGGUUUAUCUUUGCAAUAAGAUAUGCAACUUAUAAAAGAAAAUAUUUGGGUCUGGAGAUGGCUCAGGGGUUAAGAGCACUGACUGCUCUUCUGAAGGUCCUGAGUUCAAAUCCCAGCAACCACAUGGUGGCUCACAACCAUCUGUAAUGAGAUCUGACGCCCUCUUCUGGCGUGUCUGAAGACAGCUACAGUGUACUUAUUUAUAAUAAUACAAAAAUCUUUAAAAAAAGAAAACAUUUGAUUGGAGACUUGUUUAUAGUUUCAGAAUGUUAAUCUAUGAUCAUCUCCAUGGAGAGCAUGGUGGUUGGCAAGUAGGCCUGGCACUUGAGUAGUAACUAAGAGCUUACAUUCUGAUCCAGUGGUAGUAGAGAUAGAUGAUAGAUAGAUAGAUAGAUAGAUAGAUAGAUAGAUAGAUAGAUAGAUAGGUGAUAGUUAGAUCCUGAGCCUGGCUUGGCCUUUUGAAACCUCAGGUCCCCUUCCCUGCCACUGACACACCUUCUUCAACAAGGCCACACCUUCUAAUCCUUCCCAAACAGUUCCACUAAUUGGGGAUGACAUAAUCAAACAUAUGAGCUUAUGGGGUCAUUCUCAUUCAAAUGAAAACACCGCAGGCUUCAAAACUAACAAUUACAUUUUUAGAGAAUUGUCAUGGUAAAGUAUUUCAGAAAAAUAUAAUGAAAGCAAGAGAAAUAUAGACAGAUAAUAUUUUAGUUAUCAUCGACCACUUCCAAAUUUAAAAAAAAUGUGAUGCUAAUAUGAUUUAGAAAUUUGAAAAUGGCUAUAAAAGAAGUGCUGUAAAUAAAUAGAUUUUCACAUAAAAAUAAAUGAUUGUUCAUUUCUGCAAUAACAUUAAUGUAUUUAAUAUUUCUACUGUGUGAGAGUUAGAGAUCUGUGUGUUGAAGAUACAGCAAUGAACAAGGAGAAAGCUCCAUGUUCAUGAAGUUUGUAUUCUGUGUGGAAUAAAGAAAAUAGU
rnacentral:lncRNA from 1 species